UGGGGAAUAUUGCACAAUGGGCGAAAGCCUGAUGCAGCAACGCCGCGUGAGGGACGACGGCCUCGGUUGUAAACCUCUUUUAGCAAGGAAGAAGCGAAAGUGACGGUACUUGCAGAAAAAGCGACCGGCUAACUACGUGCCAGCAGCCGCGGUAAUACGUAGGGCGCAAGCGUUAUCCGGAAUUAUUGGGCGUAAAGAGCUCGUAGGCGGUUUGUCGCGUCUGCUGUGAAAACCCGAGGCUCAACCUCGGGCCUGCAGUGGGUACGGGCAGACUAGAGUGCGGUAGGGGAGAUUGGAACUCCUGGUGUAGCGGUGGAAUGCGCAGAUAUCAGGAAGAACACCGAUGGCGAAGGCAGAUCUCUGGGCCGUAACUGACGCUGAGGAGCGAAAGGGUGGGGAGCAAACAGGCUUAGAUACCCUGGUAGUCCACCCCGUAAACGUUGGGAACUAGUUGUGGGGUCCAUUCCACGGAUUCCGUGACGCAGCUAACGCAUUAAGUUCCCCGCCUGGGGAGUACGGCCGCAAGGCUAAAACUCAAAUGAAUUGACGGGGUCAUAGCUGUUUCCU
rnacentral:rRNA from 1 species